rnacentral:piRNA from 1 species
UCCCAUGCUGCCUGUUGGUCCUCCUCUGC